UACAGAGGUCUCAAGCGUUGUUCGGAUUCAUUGGGCGUAAAGGGCGCGUAGGCUGCGGGGCAAGUCGGGUGUGAAAUCUCAGAGCUCAACUCUGAAACUGCACUCGAUACUGCUUUGCUUGAGGACUGGAGAGGAGAUUGGGAAUUCACGGUGUAGCAGUGAAAUGCGUAGAUAUCGUGGAGGAAGACCAGUGGCGAAGGCGGAUCUCUGGACAGUUCCUGACGUGAGGCACGAAGGCCAGGGGGAGCAAAACGGG
rnacentral:rRNA from 1 species